UGGCAAUGAUGAUAAAAAGGCCGGUCUUACGGCUGCCAUUUACUUCUUUGGUAGUAGAUUGAUUAUUGCUUUCGUGAAAGUGUUUUCUGAGCCAG
rfam:Cicer arietinum chromosome Ca6, whole genome shotgun sequence.